rnacentral:rRNA from 1 species
UACGGGGGGGGCAAGCGUUGUUCGGAAUUACUGGGCGUAAAGGGCUCGUAGGUGGCCAACUAAGUCAGACGUGAAAUCCCUCGGCUUAACCGGGGAACUGCGUCUGAUACUGGAUGGCUUGAGUUUGGGAGAGGGACGCGGAAUUCCAGGUGUAGCGGUGAAAUGCGUAGAUAUCUGGAGGAACACCGGUGGCGAAGGCGGCGUCCUGGACCAGCACUGACACUGAUGAGCGAAAGCCAGGGGAGCAAAGCGGGG